ACCACUUCUCAGUCUUUUGGCUAAGAUCAAGUGUAGUAUGAGUUCUUAUUAGUAUAUCUUUUUUUUUGAGAUGGAGUCUUGCUCUGUUGCCCAGGCUGGAGUGCAGUAGCACAAUCUCAGCUCACUGCAACCUCCA
rnacentral:snRNA from 1 species